GGCCGGAGGGCUCGUGCACGCGCCCAGCUCGGAGGGCAGGAUGAGGCGCUGUGCCCACGGCCGAGACCCUGCGGAGCCCGUGAUCUCAGUGGAGAAGCCUUCUUAAGCCGCGAUCGAUUUGCUUUUCUGCCUUCAUUGAUUAUCAUUUGGAAACAAGUGGUGCCGCUGUAAUGGAAGAACUGGGGACAGACCCUUCCAGCCACUGGCUGAAUCGAGGCCAGGAAAGCGAUCAUUCUCUCCCAGAGAGGGAGACAUCUUGCCUCUUGACAGCGUUUGGCCCCCACUUUUCUUUCCUUCCCUUCCCUAGAACAGAGCCUCCAUGCAAGCCUGUGCCGUGGCAAGCGUCCAGCCGCAGCCCGUGGAGUCCGCAUUCUUUCCACUAGAGGGCGGUCAGCUGUGAAAGCACCUGGGAUCCCGAGAGGGGGCCUGAGAGGCAGGGGUGGAGAUGUGGCCCGAGGGACGGAGAGUCUCCUGGCCUCCGGGAGCCUUGAGCAUACUGCUCUUCCAGCUGCCUGAGCAGGUGCCCACAGGGUUUCGGAGACCUCCUGACAGCAGGUGUGGGCCCAAGGGAGCCAAAGGAUCUCCUGAGGAGAGUCUCGUUGGAGAAGACACUGGCUUCCUCACGACUACCGGCCCCCACCUCCCCCAAAGUGGGUUUCUCCGGAGGGAUUCUCUGAAGCCGAUUUCUUCUCGCCCCUCCUCUGUCCCACCAUUGAGGCUGCUGACUCGGGCCUGGUCCUGUUUUGGAUGGCUCCCCUGCAAGCGGGAAAUGCGGCUACCCACCCUCUGCCCCGUCGUGGGCCCAGCAGCACCGACCGAGCCUUUGCCCUGUGCAGACGGGAGGUUCUCACGGUCCUCUUGGGACCCUUCGCGUCAGCAUUUCAGCCUUGGGAGCGCCCCACCCCCGUCUGAGGGGACCCGGUCCAGGCUGCCGACCCUCGGCACCUCUGUCCCCGUUGCAGAUCUCUCGCCCCAUCAGCAGGGUGUUGUGCACCUUGAGAAGCCCCCCCCAGUGCUCGUGGUGCCGGCCACCGAGCUUGAGCUCUGCUCUGAGGGCCACCAACCCAGAACCUCGCAGGAAGGUCUCCACUCCUUUGGAAAAGACUGCGUUUAUUUUCACAGUCGACCCAAGGCCGACGACGUGAUGGGGCCGGCGGGCCGGCAGGCAGGCGGGCUCAUGUUCAGCACCCCUCCCCUCAGCUGCAACGUCAACAGAAACUGUCAGGCUCCUGGCCUAUGGGCUCUGGCCGGCAUGCUCAGCACCCCUCCCCUCAGCUGCAACAUCAACAGAAGCUGUCAGGCUUCUGGCCUCUGUGCUCUGGCCGGCAGGUUCCCCCACACCUGCCCCCUCCCUGCUCGGUUUCUGGCUGACUCACACAGCAGAGCAUCUUGUGGGCAAGGCCAAGUAGGAAAUUUAAGCCGCUCGUAUAUUCGAUUUAUGGCUAGGAGCCCGACUUCUCCAGAUUUGAGAGAGCAGAGUGCCUUCAGUCCCACGUGAUCACAUCUUGCCGGAGCUUGAGCUUCUUUUGCGGUUUCCUGAAGUCUUCAGUCUCUGCAUUAGAGUUCUGCACUUUCUCAACCAGCUCAACUUUAUGAUCUGAAAGUUGGUCAGAAGCCUGUCUUCUAGAGUCAAUUUCAAAGUCCUUUCUGUGACCCUCUCUGAAGACGAAAGAGACUUGCAGAACAGAGUCAAACCAAACAGUCUGUAAAUGACAAAGGAUUUCAAAAUGGCAAUGGACAAAGAAAUUUGGUUAUUUUUGUGACCCAGAACACUUUGAGAUAACAAUUAGAGUGAUGAGUGCUAACCAGGAUAAAUCAGCAUUUUAGGAAUGUUAUCUAAUUUUUAAAACCCUUCUAGAAACAUUUACCCACAGCAUAGCCUAGAUCCCUAGGAAACCAUGCUUAGCUAUGCAUUGAAACACGGUGACCAUGAAAGUUUUUCAGGCAAGUGCAGAAAAUCAAACGGGUGUGUGAAACAUCUUAGCCACUUGGUGUGAUUCAAGACCUCAUCAAAACAAUACUGGAAAUUUAUUUUGAUAAGACAUCAAAAUCUUUCCUAAUCUCUUUCCCCAGAAAAGAAGAAAAGUUUAAGAAAAUGAUCCUUUUAAGAGAGGGCAAAAACCAAAAUCUAAUUUAGCAACAGCUUCCCUUUGAUAGGAAAGCUCAUUGACUUGGUUCAACUACUUUUCAACAUCAGCCAUUUGGAUCAUGCACAAAACUGUUUUCUUUGAGUUUCUUCCCCCAUCACUCUAGAAGCUCCUUUUGACAUGAAAAAUUUGUCCUAGGGCUUCUUUCCUUUUUUAGGACCCAUUUAUCUUUCUUACCAAAACCAAGAAAAAUAUUUCCAUUCCUUAAGUCUUCUCGACUGAAGCAUACACCUUACUUUCCUUAGAGCACAAAGAUGUCUUGCUUCUUGAUUUUGAGUAGCUUUAAUCUCAUCUCUUCCUUCGAAGUCUCAGCCUUUACAGACCUUGUUUUCAGUAAAAACCAAGAAGGAAGCAAUUAUAAACGGUCCUUUCCACUGCCAUUCUGUGGCUUUGCAAAUUUAUAAAUAUAUUUAUAAUUUCCAGAAACAUACUGCUUCAUGGUACAAUCUUCAGAUAAAAAUGCAAGACAUGUUUCCCAACAGACCCAAACCUCUUUUGGUUUCUGUGUCCAAAUAAGCCCAAAGUAGCUAAACCUCUAUCUAAGAAUUACUGUCUAAUAUAUUAUCUUAUUUGGAAAUGAUCUAGAGAUUCAAUAAAUUUCUAUCAUUUGACUGAAUUUAACA
rnacentral:lncRNA from 1 species